UACGUGGGGGGGCAAGCGUUGUUCGGAAUUACUGGGCGUAAAGGGCGCGUAGGCGGGUGGACAAGUCUCUCGUGAAAGCCCACGGCUCAACCGUGGAAUUGCGGGAGAUACUGUCUGUCUUGAGUCCGGGAGAGGAGGGUGGAAUUCCCAGUGUAGCGGUGAAAUGCGUAGAUAUUGGGAGGAACACCGGUGGCGAAGGCGGCUCUCUGGACCGGUACUGACGCUGAGGCGCGAAAGCUAGGGGAGAAAACGGG
rnacentral:rRNA from 1 species